rnacentral:lncRNA from 1 species
CCUUUCUGCCUGGCAUGGAUGGUGAUCCUUCUGUCCAGUCUACGCUGGCCAUGCUGGCCCUGAGGCCUGGAACUGGGGAGCACGAGCAGGAUGACAUCUCCAGUGUCUGUCUGGGUCACCUGUUAGCGGAUGAGAAGUCCAGCCUUACUGCCUGUUCUCCACCUGCAUUUAGGCUUCAUCCCUGGAAUGUCACCUUCUGUCUUCUGGAAAACGUCUAGGCUCUGCUGCCAUACAGAACCCUUCUGCUUCCUUAAGGAGACGGUCCACUGUCCCCUUGUCUUCUCUCCUCUAAGCAAGAGGGGCCCCUGCCCGUUGCCCUUUCCUGGAUGGAGCAUGAGUUUUGAUGUCAGGCAGGUCUGGGUUUGAAGCCUCGUUUGUCUUGCCUUCAGAAUAACCUCUCUAAGCCUCAGUUUUAUAGCCCGAAAAUGGGGGUGAUUAUAACUCCUGAAGGGAAGUUUUGGGAUUGGCUGAUACAUAAGAUACUUAGCACAGUGCCUGGCACACAGUAAGCGAUCAAUAAAUGGUAGCAUUUAUA